CCCUUAGAUGUCCUGGGCCGCACGCGCGCUACACUGAUACAAUCAACAAGCACCCAACCUUGGUCGAGAGGCCUGGGUAAUCUUGUGAAACUGUAUCGUGAUGGGGAUAGAUGCUUGUAAUUUUUCAUCUUCAACGAGGAAUUCCUAGUAGACGCGAGUCAUAAGCUCGCAUCGAUUAAGUCCCUGCCCUUUGUACACACCGCCCGUCGCUACUACCGAUUGAACGUUUUAGUGAGGCAUUUGGACCGACGCAUCUCAGUUUAACCGCUGGUUUGUGUUGGAAAGACUUCCAAACUUGAGCGUUUAGAGGAAGUAAAAGUCGUAACA
rnacentral:rRNA from 1 species